UCUUCUACUAACUUCAUCAAGUCAGAUCAGAGAAUAUUAAGUUUAAUCUAGUCCACCCAAUUAGUUAUAAAUCCUCUCACUGACUUCACCAAGUCAUGAAGAGGACUCAAGACUAGCCGGUCAAUCUAGGAGUACCUAAAUCAGUCACACUGAUUUACCUAUGCAGCAUGGGUUAGCAUGAAUCAAUAAGCAAGUAAUCAAAAGCUGAUUAACCAUAUCGGUCAGGUAAGUG
rnacentral:lncRNA from 1 species